rnacentral:miRNA from 1 species
UCUAACUUUUUAUAAUGAAAUAAUAUUUUUAUUCAUAAUUAUAUUCUUAUAGAAUAUAAUUAUUAAAAAAUAUAUAUAAGUUAUAAU